CCUGAGUACGACGGAGCACGUGAAAUUCCGUCGGAAUCUGGGAGGACCAUCUCCUAAGGCUAAAUACUCUCUAGUGACCGAUAGUGAACCAGUACCGUGAGGGAAAGGUGAAAAGCACCCCGGAAGGGGAGUGAAAUAGAACCUGAAACCGUGUGCUUACAAGUAGUCAGAGCCCGUUAAUGGGUGAUGGCGUGCCUUUUGUAGAAUGAACCGGCGAGUUACGAUUUGAUGCAAGGUUAAGCAGUAAAUGUGGAGCCGUAGCGAAAGCGAGUCUGAAUAGGGCGUUUAGUAUUUGGUCGUAGACCCGAAACCAGGUGAUCUACCCUUGGUCAGGUUGAAGUUCAGGUAACACUGAAUGGAGGACCGAACCGACUUACGUUGAAAAGUGAGCGGAUGAACUGAGGGUAGCGGAGAAAUUCCAAUCGAACCUGGAGAUAGCUGGUUCUCUCCGAAAUAGCUUUAGGGCUAGCCUCAAGUGAUGAUUAUUGGAGGUAGAGCACUGUUUGGACGAGGGGCCCCUCUCGGGUUACCGAAUUCAGACAAACUCCGAAUGCCAAUUAAUUUAACUUGGGAGUCAG
rnacentral:rRNA from 1 species